rnacentral:rRNA from 1 species
AGUGAACGCUGGCGGUAGGCCUAACACAUGCAAGUCGAACGGCAGCACAGUAAGAGCUUGCUCUUACGGGUGGCGAGUGGCGGACGGGUGAGGAAUACAUCGGAAUCUACUUUUUCGUGGGGGAUAACGUAGGGAAACUUACGCUAAUACCGCAUACGACCUACGGGUGAAAGCAGGGGAUCUUCGGACCUUGCGCGAUUGAAUGAGCCGAUGUCGGAUUAGCUAGUUGGCGGGGUAAAGGCCCACCAAGGCGACGAUCCGUAGCUGGUCUGAGAGGAUGAUCAGCCACACUGGAACUGAGACACGGUCCAGACUCCUACGGGAGGCAGCAGUGGGGAAUAUUGGAUAAUGGGCGCAAGCCUGAUCCAGCUAUACCGCGUGGGUGAAGAAGGCCUUCGGGUUGUAAAGCCCUUUUGUUGGGAAAGAAAAGCAGCAGGUUAAUACCCCGCUGUUCUGACGGUACCCAAAGAAUAAGCACCGGCUAACUUCGUG